UACAGAGGGUGCGAGCGUUAAUCGGAAUUACUGGGCGUAAAGGGCGCGUAGGCGGUGAUAUAAGCUAGGUGUGAAAUCCCUGGGCUCAACCCAGGAACGUCACCUAUGACUGUAUGGCUAGAGUACUGUAGAGGGCAGUGGAAUUUCCGGUGUAGCGGUGAAAUGCGUAGAGAUCGGAAGGAACACCAGUGGCGAAGGCGACUGCCUGGACAGAUACUGACGCUGUGGCGCGAGAGCGUGGGUAGCAAACAGG
rnacentral:rRNA from 1 species